UACGAAGGGGGCGAGCGUUGUUCGGAAUCACUGGGCGUAAAGAGUGCGUAGGCGGUUAUGAAAGUUAGGAGUGAAAGCCCAGGGCUCAACCUUGGAAUUGCUCUUAAUACUCCAUAACUCGAAUUUGGGAGAGGAUAGCGGAAUUCUCAGUGUAGCAGUGAAAUGCGUAGAUAUUGAGAGGAACACCAGUGGCGUAAGCGGCUAUCUGGACCAACAUUGACGCUGAGGCACGAAAGCGUGGGGAUCAAACAGG
rnacentral:rRNA from 1 species